UGGGGAAUAUUGCACAAUGGGCGCAAGCCUGAUGCAGCCAUGCCGCGUGUAUGAAGAAGGCCUUCGGGUUGUAAAGUACUUUCAGCGGGGAGGAAGGCGAUGUGGUUAAUAACCGCGUCGAUUGACGUUACCCGCAGAAGAAGCACCGGCUAACUCCGUGCCAGCAGCCGCGGUAAUACGGAGGGUGCAAGCGUUAAUCGGAAUUACUGGGCGUAAAGCGCACGCAGGCGGUCUGUCAAGUCGGAUGUGAAAUCCCCGGGCUCAACCUGGGAACUGCAUCCGAAACUGGCAGGCUUGAGUCUCGUAGAGGGGGGUAGAAUUCCAGGUGUAGCGGUGAAAUACGUAGAGAUCUGGAGGAAUACCGGUGGCGAAGGCGGCCCCCUGGACGAAGACUGACGCUCAGGUGCGGAAGCGUGGGGAGCAAACA
rnacentral:rRNA from 1 species